rnacentral:lncRNA from 1 species
UAAAAGUUUUUGGUUGCCCUGACAGAAAUAUGAAAAAUGAGAUCAGAUACAGUGGGUUGUGUUUUUUAAUUAUUUUUUCAAUUAAUAAGCAUUAAUUUUCUUCCCUUCCCCCUCCAAUUUAAAGGGAAAAAAACCCAUACCUUCAUAUCAAAUAUGAAGAGCUAAGCAAAACAAAUGACCACAUUGUCCAUGCCUCAAAAUAUGUGUGUCUUUCUGCAUCAUGAGUUCAUCACCUCUCUGUCAGAAGGUAGAUUCGUGACCCUCCCUCUACAAUAAUGGAGAGUCAUUACAUUGAUCAGAAUUCUUAAGUCUUUGAAAGAUGUCUCUCUUUACAAAUAUCCUUGUUAAUGUAUAAAUUGUUCUGGUUCUAUUAAUUUCACUCUGCAUCAGUUCACUCAAAUCUUCCCAGGUUUCUCUGAAGCUCUCUUUUCAUCAUUUCUUUUUAACACAGUAGUGUUCCAUUCCAUAAUUUGUUCAGCCAUUCCUCUGUGGAGGGACACCUCCUUAGUUUCCAGUUCUUUGUUACCACAAAAAGGAGCUACUAUAAAAUAUUUUUGUACAUAAGAGUCCUUUCCUUCUUUUUGAGAUCUUUGAAGUAUGUUUGUGAUGGCAUCAUUGCAUAACGAGAAUGGCACAGUUUAGUAAAUUUGGGGACAGAGUUCCAAAUUGCUCUCCAGAAUGACUGCAUCAAUUCAAAGCUUCACCAAAAGGUGGAAUUAAUAUACAUUUGGCCAAAUGAAAUGUGAGAUUAAAAAGUAGGACAGUGGGAGUCUUUGAUGUUAAAAGAUAUCUUUUCAAAGUUAGUGAGGCCGAGGAUUUUGGGAUUCAUAGAAUACUAAGAUAUUCCUAACCUGGUUCUCUCUGUCUUCAUUGUUUUUCCCAGAAACUGCAUAAGGCCACCUUCAUGGAGUUCCAAGGUGAAUUGGAGAAACAUAUGAAUACCUUAUCAUCUGGUGGCAGAGCAAGUCCAAGAUUCACAGCAGUGUCAAACGUUCCAGAGAGCUCCAGAAGGUUGAAGACUGAAAAAGAAAAACCAGAAGAUUUGGCUCUUAAGACAUCAUCAGUCACUUUGAAGAGGGCAGUUUCAGUUGAAUAA